rnacentral:rRNA from 1 species
UACGAGUGCCCCAAGCGUUAUCCGGAAUCAUUGGGCGUAAAGGGCGCGUAGGCGGUUUGUACAGUCAGACGUGAAAUUCCCGGGCUCAACCUGGGGGCUGCGUUUGAUACGUGCAGACUUGAGUUCGGAAGAGGGUCGUGGAAUUCCCAGUGUAGAGGUGAAAUUCGUAGAUAUUGGGAAGAACACCGGUGGCGAAGGCGGCGACCUGGUCCGAUACUGACGCUGAGGCGCGAAAGCGUGGGGAGCAAACAGG